UACAGAGGUCUCAAGCGUUGUUCGGAUUCAUUGGGCGUAAAGGGUGCGUAGGCGGCGCGGUAAGUCGGAUGUGAAAUCUCGGGGCUUAACUCCGAAACUGCAUUCGAUACUGCCGUGCUUGAGGACUGGAGAGGAGACUGGAAUUUACGGUGUAGCGGUGAAAUGCGUAGAUAUCGUAAGGAAGACCAGUGGCGAAAGGCGGGUCUCUGGACAGUUCCUGACGCUGAGGCACGAAGGCCAGGGGAGCAAACGGG
rnacentral:rRNA from 1 species